ACUUCUCAGCCUUUUGGCUAAGAUCAAGUGUAGUAUCUGUUCUUAUCAGUGUUCAUUUCAGUGUUGGAUCGGGCAUCACUGAUGUGGGACUUGUGAGGUGGGGUGCUGCAUGGAGGGGACAGGUGUACCAGGGCGUUUCGGGGCUGGUUUUGAGGAAUCUGCUCAACGGCUCCCCCAAUGUGACUUGUUCCCUCC